GACGAACGCUGGCGGCGUGCUUAACACAUGCAAGUCGAACGGAAAUAUUUAGAUAGUUUACUAGAUAAAUAUUUUAGUGGCGGACGGGUGAGUAACACGUGGGCAACCUGCCUUAGAGUGGGGGAUAACAGCGAGAAAUCGUUGCUAAUACCGCAUGAAAUUAAUAUACUGCAUGGUAUAUUAAUGAAAGGAGAAAUCCGCUAUAAGAUGGGCCCGCGCCUGAUUAGCUAGUUGGUGAGGUAAUAGCUCACCAAGGCGACGAUCAGUAGCCGAUCUGAGAGGAUGACCGGCCACACUGGAACUGAGACACGGUCCAGACUCCUACGGGAGGCAGCAGUGGGGAAUAUUGCACAAUGGGGGAAACCCUGAUGCAGCAACGCCGCGUGGAGGAAGAAGGUUUUCGGAUUGUAAACUCCUGUCUUUUGGGACGAUAAUGACGGUACCAAAAGAGGAAGCCACGGCUAACUACGUG
rnacentral:rRNA from 1 species